rnacentral:rRNA from 1 species
GGGGAACUUUGGACAAUGGGCGCAAGCCUGAUCCAGCAAUGCCGCGUGCAGGAUGAAGGCCUUCGGGUUGUAAACUGCUUUUGUACGGAACGAAGAGCCUACCUCUAAUACAGGGGGGUGAUGACGGUGCCGUACGCAUCAGCACCGGCUAACGUCGUGCCAGCAGCCGCGGUAAUACGAAGGGUGCAAGCGUUACUCGGAAUUACUGGGCGUAAAGCGUGGUAGGUGGUGGUUUAAGUCCGUUGUGAAAGCCCUGGGCUCAACCUGGGAACUGCAGUGGAUACUGGAUCACUAGAGUGUGGCAGAGGGUAGUGGAAUUCCCGGUGUAGCAGUGAAAUGCCUAGAGAUCGGGAGGAACAUCAGUGGCGAAGGCGACUGCCUGGGCCAACACUGACACUGAGGCACGAAAGCGUGGGGAGCAAACA